CCUCAAAUCAGGUAGGACUACCCGCUGAACUUAAGCAUAUCAAUAAGCGGAGGAAAAGAAACUAACAAGGAUUCCCCUAGUAACGGCGAGUGAAGCGGGAUGAGCUCAAAUUUAAAAUCUGGCGGCCUCAGGUCGUCCGAGUUGUAGUCUAGAGAAUCGUUUUCCGCGUUGGCCUGUGUACAAGUCCCUUGGAACAGGGCGUCAUAGAGGGUGAGAAUCCCGUCCUUGACACAGACUACCAAUGCUUUGUGAUGCGAUCUCGAAGAGUCGAGUUGUUUGGGAAUGCAGCUCAAAAUGGGUGGUAAAUUCCAUCUAAAGCUAAAUAUUGGCGAGAGACCGAUAGCGAACAAGUACCGUGAGGGAAAGAUGAAAAGCACUUUGGAAAGAGAGUUAAACAGUACGUGAAAUUGUUAAAAGGGAAACGAUUGAAGUCAGUCAUGCUUUCCGAGACUCAGCCGAUUCUGUCGGUGUACUUCUCGGUUGGCAGGCCAGCAUCAGUUUCGAUCUGUGGAAAAGGUUGGAGGGAACGUGGCAUCCUCGGAUGUGUUAUAGCCCUUCUUCGAAUACAUAGAGCGGGACUGAGGAACGCAGCGCGCCUUUUAUUAGGUUGGCCCUCGGGUACAUACGCGCUAGGAUGC
rnacentral:rRNA from 1 species